UACGUAGGGGGCAAGCGUUGUCCGGAUUUAUUGGGCGUAAAGAGCGUGUAGGCGGCCAGGUAGGUGGGUUGUGAAAACUGGAGGCUCAACCUUCAGAGGUCGACCCAAACCCCCUGGCUAGAGUCCGGAAGAGGAGAGUGGAAUUCCUGGUGUAGCGGUGAAAUGCGCAGAUAUCGGGAGGAACACCCAUGGCGAAGGCAGCUCUCUGG
rnacentral:rRNA from 1 species